rnacentral:misc_RNA from 1 species
UGUGGGAGGGGGCUUGCCCCCGAUAGCGGUGUGUCAGUCACCAGAUUCAUUGGCUGACACACUGCAAUCGGGGGCAAGCCCCCUCCCACA